ensembl:lncRNA
CAUCAGGAGCGGGCGUGCCUCAGAGUUGUAACCCAGGGCAGCUAAAGCUGCUUUAUCUCUAAACACCUUCAGGUGGGCUCUUCAUACAAGCAACCUCUCUCUCACUUUUUCCCUCUCUCUCUCUCACACACAGUCUCAGACAUUUGACACACAACCUACAUUCUCACGUGCCCCCAGACACAUACACCCUUGAACACAUUCUGGCUGAUGACACGCUUGCUGCCUAUGUGCAAAAACACACACCAGCUCACGUAACACUCACACAUCCACACAUUCACACGCACUCAUACUUUCCCUCUCUGUCUCUCUCUCUCACACACACACACUCAGUCUCUCUCUCACCUGCACAACAUGCUUCUGGCAGAGCACCCGCAGCUGUACUAACCUGCCCGCCUUUGUUCCCAGGCCUGGCCUCAGCAGCAUUUUCCCAGGCCCAGGCUUCCUUUAGCUGCUGCUUCCCUGUUUCCCUCUGAGCCUGGUCACUGGGCCCUGACUCAACACCGGUGUGUACGUGUCAGGAGUCGUGCAGCGUCACAAGCCCUGCUGGAUGUGAACACGCUGUCCCGACAGUGUUGUUACCGGUUGUAAGACGCCUCUCCUACUGACUCCUCAUUCCUGCUGGCAACCUUUACUUCCAAGUGAAUAAGGAAAUGGAUGCUUAGAAAACUGAAAUGGGGACUUCCUUGGUGGUACAGUGAAUAGAAAUCUGCUUGCUAAUGCAGGGGACACAGAUUCGAUCUCUGGUCCGGGAAGAUCCCACAUCCUUGCAGCAACAAGAGCCUGUGUGCCCCAACUACUGAGCCUGUGCUCUAGAGCCUGCGCUCUGCAACAAGAGAAGCCACUGCAAUGAGAAGCCCGAGCAUGGCAAUGAGGAGUAGCCUCAGCUUACUGCAACUAGGGAAAGCCUCAGUGCAGCAGUGAAGACCCAGUGCAACUAACAAUAAAUAAAUAAAUUUAAAAAAAAAAGAAAAUUGAAAUGCUUUCCAAGGAGAUACUCCUCUGUGGUGCUGGGAACCAAACCCAAAUCCAUUGAUUCCAAACGCAUUUGCUCUCGUGGCUGUGACAGCGACUAUUAAGACUAUCCGAUGGAGUGCCUCCCCUGUGUUGCCUCGUGUGGAUUGUACAGACCGGACGGUUCUUGUUGAGUGAACACUGGGCUGAGUUUUGCUCCUUCAGCCGGGCCCUAGGCUCCCUGGUAGGUAGUUUCUUUUCCUUUUAGCUUCUCACUCAUUUAUGUCGUCCUGACUUACUCUUCCUUGCCUUGGUCUCAUCAGUCCUUUUCUUUUGCUCUGAGAGGAGGGCUCACUUCAAGACAACUCCAUCUGGUCUUCCUGGGUCCUUCUGCGUUCUAGUUCCUUCCUCUGCUCCAGGAGCCUCAGCUGAGAAGCAGCCAAGGAUGAACACCACCAGGGCUGUUUCAUAUCAUUCACAGUCACUCUGUGAAUGACUGUGAAUUUGGGGGUGCUAGGUGUUCUCAUCCUACUUGGACUCAGUCUGAAUUUGCCUCUAGUGACCACUCCCACCAGAAACCCCUUGUGCCCCCGAUUCCUUCCUCAGCCCAUCUCCUUCGCAGCCUCUUCUGCCGUGAUCCAGGGCUCUCAUUUCACCCUCAGGAGUCUCCCUGGGCACCUCAGCUGUUGCCUGGUGGUUUGACCUCAUCUUCAUCCAGAGCCUCUCGAUGUUAGUGGGCAGGAGGCUGGGCUGAGGGAGCCUGAUGAUGACCCAGACUCCUGAUUCUGCCCGGGGGAGGUGCUGCAUUCUGAUGACUCAGUGCAGGCCGUCCCCCAGGUCUCACACCACAGGAUGGGGCACUGUGUCAUAGGCUGAUAUCCCCCAAUACCGAGCACUUCCAAGCUCCAAACUGGAACGGCCAACUGCCCACCAUGGAAGCGGCUUCUGUUCCUUUCACUGCAGCCAUCACCGGGCACGCCGCCCAGAACUCCCUUCCAGGAAGGCCUUUCUGCUCCAGUGGCAGGGAAUGCCAUCUGCCUCCAGCUGUUGGCUGUCAGCCCCUUCCAGGAUGGCCUCAGCUGGAGAGAACCUCCUUGUCCAAGUUCAUGUAGCUUCUUGAGGAGGCCUCGUCCAAUCACUGCUUAGAGCGGGAAUAUAAAGGCUCAGCCUUCUGGCCCUAUUUGGAACAGCUCUGAAAGGCCAUCCAUGUUCUGGGACUCCCAGAGGGGUGAGCUGAUGUGCCAUUUAUCUCUUGCUGCAUCACAAACCACCGCAGAACAGAAUAUGGCUUCAAACGACGACAUUCACUUUGCUGAUGCAUCUGGGCCAGGUUCCAGGUAGGGGAGUGGACAGAGGUCAUUCGUCUCUGCCCUACUCAGUCUGCUGGUCUGACUCGGAGUUGGGCCUGGACACAUUGCAAAGUUCACUGCCUCACGCACAUGUCUGGCAUGUGGACUGUGCACACUCACACUGCUGGGGGCCGGAACCCCUGGCUUCCUGGGCAUCUCGUUCUCCAUACGAUCUCUCCAUGUGCCCUCUUGGGUACAAAGGCACCAGGGGAGCCAGGCUUCUUACUUGGUGACUCCCAAAGUACAUACCCCAAGAGAAGAAGUGGAAGAAGCCAUAUUGCCUUCUAUGACCUAGCCUCCAAAGCCGUGUAGCAUCACUCUGAUUGAGCAGUUACAGGAGUCCACCCAGGUUCAAGAGUAUGGAGUGUGGACCCCACCUCUCCACGGAGGAGCAUCAGCGUCACACUGUAAGAAGAACACGCAGACUGGGGUGCAAGUCGGUGCAUCCAUCUUGGGAGAGUAUAACCUGCCAUGGCCACAGGCGUGUCCAUAGGUGGGUCCUGCAUCUCCAUCUUUCCCUCUGUCUGUUGCUGUCUUCUUCCCCUCCCGUCUGUGACGUAGCCAUCAAAAGCACACCUGCAAAACUAUCCUGCUCACUAAACUGUCUCAGAGCCUGCCUCCCAGGAACUCAACCUGUAAGACUAAUCCCCCAAAGCCAACACAUUCAAGGUGUCAUCUUCCUGGCCCCUCUGCUUCAUGCCUGACCUCAGUGGAUGGCACCUCCACGCCCUCAGGCACUCUCCACAUUCUGUCUGUCCUGGACAUCUUUCAUACAUGUCUGUUCAUCUUUCAUACAUGUCCCUCCUUCCCCAGGCCACCCUCAACCAGCCGCUCCCAUCAGCACAGAAUCCUUUGAGCGUCCUCCAUACUCUCUGCAGCCUCAACUCCACUUGUUGCCAGAAUGCUCAUAUUUGAUGAGCUCCUUCGCCAUUGCCCAUAUCAUAAAGCUAGACUUCUUAAGUUGACCUGCAGCAUCCUUUGUAACUAGACUUUGCCUUCCUUUGAAGUCUGCAUUUUUUUCUUUCUUUUUUUAAAAGUAAUUUUUAUUAAUUUUUUGACUGUGUUGGGUCUUCAUGGCUGAGUGGGUUUUUCUAUAGUUUCAGGAAGCGGAGGUUGCUCUCUACUUCUGGUGCAUGUGCUUCCUGUUGCCAUGGCUUCUCUGGUUGUGGAGCCUGGGCUCUAGGACAUAGGCUCAAAAGCUGUGGUUACAGGGGCUUUAGCUGUUCCACAGCAUAUGGGAAUCUUCCUGGACCAGGGAUCGAACUCGUGUCUCCUGCAUUGGCAGGCAGAUUCUGAGCCACCAGGGAAGUCCUGAAGUCCAGAUUUCUUAACCCUGCCCAUCACACCUCUUCUGAGUUUCUUUCAGCUCUGUUAUGAGCAUGGUAAAAUUUCUCUGCCCUUUCUGGGAUGUUCUUUCUGGGUGGACAGCACCCUCCUUCUACUACACCUCCAGACCUCCCUACAUUCUUAUUCUUGGGUUUGGGCUCAAGUUUCAUUUCUUCUAGCAAGUCCUGCCUGACCCCUGGACUGAGUGAGGGGCCCUGACCUGAGUUCCUGAAGUGCCCCUCCCACCCUAGCACAGUCACACCUCAUGGAAACCU